UACGGAGGGGGCGAGCGUUAUUCGGAAUUAUUGGGCGUAAAGGGCGCGUAGGCGGCUGAACAAGUCAAAGGUGAAAUCCCUCGGCUCAACUGAGGAACUGCCUUUGAAACUGUUCGGCUUGAGGCCGGGAGGGGGUAGCGGAAUUCCCAGUGUAGCGGUGAAAUGCGUAGAUAUUGGGAGGAACACCAGUGGCGAAGGCGGCUACCUGGACCGGUUCUGACGCUGAGGUGCGAAAGCGUGGGGAGCAGACAGG
rnacentral:rRNA from 1 species